UGGUCAAGUUAUUAAGGGUGCAGGGCGGAUGCCUUGGCACUAGGAGCCGAUGAAGGACGUGAUAAGCUGCGAUAAGCUUCGGGGAGUUGCACGUAAACUUUGAUCCGAAGAUUUCCGAAUGAGGAAACUCACUUAGAGUAAUGUCUAAGUAUCAUUAAGUGAAUACAUAGCUUAAUGAGGGGAACUCAGGGAACUGAAACAUCUAAGUACCUGAAGGAAGAGAAAGAAAUUCGAUUCCGUAAGUAGCGGCGAGCGAACGCGGAUUAGCCCAAACCAAUAAAGUUUUCUUUAUUGGGGUUGAGGACAUACCACAUAUAAGAGGUAUUAUAGACGAAGAAGUUUGGAAAAACUCAUCAUAGAAGGUAAUAAUCCUGUAGUCAAAAUAAUAAUUCUUUAGGUAUGAUCCAGAGUACCACGGGACACGUGAAACCCUGUGGGAAGCAGGAGGGACCACCCUCCAAGGCUAAAUACUACCUAGUGACCGAUAGCGUAUAGUACCGUGAGGGAAAGGUGAAAAGAACCCCGGGAGGGGAG
rnacentral:rRNA from 1 species